CAGUCGCCGCGGUAAAACGAAGGGGGCUAGCGUUGUUCGGAUUUACUGGGCGUAAAGGGCGCGUAGGCGGACUGAUAAGUCAGGGGUGAAAUCCCAAGGCUCAGCCUUGGAACUGCCUUUGAUACUGUUUGUCUUGAGUUCGAGAGAGGUAAGUGGAACUGCGAGUGUAGAGGUGAAAUUCGUAGAUAUUCGCAAGAACACCAGUGGCGAAGGCGGCUUACUGGCUCGAAACUGACGCUGAGGCGCGAAAGCGUGGGGAGCAAACAGGAUUAGAUACCCGCGUAGUCCCUGUCUCUUAUAC
rnacentral:rRNA from 1 species